AAAAAGGUAAGCUAAAUAAGCUAAUGGGUUCAUACCUCAUUUAUAAAGGUUUUAAUCCUUUCCUCUUUA
rnacentral:tRNA from 1 species